GGGGUAAAGUGGUGGGGGCAGGCAGUGAGCUGGGGGCUGGGCUCAGAGCUGGGGGAGAUUUGGGGGAUAAAGUGGGGGAUGAGGGGGAGGCCUGGGAGGGACACAGGUGUCAGCAGCAGCAGCCCCCCACCGCCUGCAUGCCGCCCACAGAGGGCCCCAGGCUCAGACUGCGCGGAAAUAAGUGAGAGAGUAAUUAUAUCAUCUCUCCCAGCACAGCAAACACUUCCUUUUGUUGCUAGGAAACAGGAAAUGUGCAUCUGAUAAUGUCUUCCCCCCUGACCCUCUCUGCCUGCGGACCAAUCUCCGCGGUCCCCUCCCAAUGACGUCCCUGCCAGAGCCCCCAAUGGCCGACUUCCCGGAGUAAAGAUGGCGUCGGGUUAGGAAGGCUGCGGCGGUUGUCCCACCAAGAUGGCGGCUUU